rnacentral:rRNA from 1 species
UGGGGAAUAUUGCACAAUGGGCGAAAGCCUGAUGCAGCAACGCCGCGUGAGGGAUGACGGCCUUCGGGUUGUAAACCUCUUUUAGUAGGGAAGAAGCGAGAGUGACGGUACCUGCAGAAAAAGCACCGGCUAACUACGUGCCAGCAGCCGCGGUAAUACGUAGGGUGCAAGCGUUGUCCGGAAUUAUUGGGCGUAAAGAGCUCGUAGGCGGUUUGUCGCGUCUGCUGUGAAGUCCCGAGGCUCAACCUCGGGCUUGCAGUGGGUACGGGCAGACUAGAGUGCGGUAGGGGAGAUUGGAAUUCCUGGUGUAGCGGUGGAAUGCGCAGAUAUCAGGAGGAACACCGAUGGCGAAGGCAGAUCUCUGGGCCGUAACUGACGCUGAGGAGCGAAAGCGUGGGGACGAACAGGAUUAGAUACC